CGUGUAGGCGGUAAUGUAAGUCAGACGUGAAAUCCUUUGGCUCAACUGAAGAACUGCGUCUGAAACUGCAUGACUAGAGUGCAGAAGAGGGAAACGGAAUUCCAGGUGUAGAGGUGAAAUUCGUAGAUAUCUGGAGGAACACCGGUGGCGAAGGCGGUUUCCUGGUUCUGACACUGACGCUGAGGCGCGAAAGCGUGGGGAGCAAACAGGAUUAGAUACCCUGGUAGUCCACGCCGUAAACGGUGGGUACUGGGUGUGGGAGGUGUAAUGCCUUCUGUGCCGAAGCUAACGCGUUAAGUACCCCGCCUGGGGGAGUACGGCCGCAAGGUUGAA
rnacentral:rRNA from 1 species